rnacentral:rRNA from 1 species
GACGAACGCUGGCGGCGUGCCUAAUACAUGCAAGUCGAGCGAAUUUACGAGAGCUUGCUCUCGUAAAUUAGCGGCGGACGGGUGAGUAACACGUGGGCAACCUGCCUAUAAGACUGGGAUAACUUCGGGAAACCGGAGCUAAUACCGGAUAAUUCACAUCUACUCAUGUAGAUGUGCUGAAAGACGGUUUACGCUGUCACUUAUAGAUGGCCGCGGCGCAUUAGCUAGUUGGUGAGGUAACGGCUCACCAAGGCCACGAUGCGUAGCGACCUGAGAGGGUGAUCGGCCACACUGGGACUGAGACACGGCCCAGGCUCCUACGGAGGCAGCAGUAGGGAAUCUUCCGCAAUGGACGAAAGUCUGACGGAGCAACGCCGCGCGAGUGAUGAAGUUUUCGGAUCGUAAAACUCUGUUGUUAGGGAAGAACAAGUACCAGAGUAACUGCUGGUACCUUGACGGUACCUAACCA